AAUACCAAAGAUCCAUAAUUCAAUUAUUCGCAUUUGUAUCGAAUGACUUAUUUUCUAUUCAAGUUGAUGAAGUGAAAGAAUUCAAACUAGAAAUGCAUUCUUUUUGGGUCAGUGAAUACACCCACAUUCAUUUUCCUAUAUAUUAUCAUUUUUUAAUACAUUACUUUAAUUAGUUUUUUUUUGUUUUCAGGCCAAUCAUGCUGCGACAUAUAACCUUUUGUAAAGUACAAUUCCAUUUAUAUUUGUACUUUAGAUAAUUUAUCAUAUAGCAAAUUGAUUUGAUUUUCUGAUACCAUCAUUUUGGGUAUUAGGUUAAUGGUAUCUUCUCUUUAAUCGUUACUCCAGAGACUUCAUAAUCAUUUCGCACAUGAAAGUUGAUUUGUUAGUACUGUCUUACAAGAUAUCUUCUAAUUCUAUUUUCCACUAAAUUUGUGUGAAUACAUAUGUGCAGUGGUACAUAUAGGUGUAGUAUGCGGUUAUAUCUUAAUCGACAUUUCUCUCAAAGCAUAAGUUUCUCAAUGACACCAGUACAUAUUCAACUAUUUAUAGCCAACAUC
rnacentral:lncRNA from 1 species